rnacentral:rRNA from 1 species
AUGAACGCUGGCGGCGUGCCUAAUACAUGCAAGUCGUGCGAACAGACGAGGAGCUUGCUCCUCUGACGUUAGCGGCGGACGGGUGAGUAACACGUGGAUAACCUACCUAUAAGACUGGGAUAACUUCGGGAAACCGGAGCUAAUACCGGAUAAUAUAUUGAACCGCAUGGUUCAAUAGUGAAAGACGGCUUUGCUGUCACUUAUAGAUGGAUCCGCGCCGCAUUAGCUAGUUGGUAAGGUAACGGCUUACCAAGGCAACGAUGCGUAGCCGACCUGAGAGGGUGAUCGGCCACACUGGAACUGAGACACGGUCCAGACUCCUACGGGAGGCAGCAGUAGGGAAUCUUCCGCAAUGGGCGAAAGCCUGACGGAGCAACGCCGCGUGAGUGAUGAAGGUCUUCGGAUCGUAAAACUCUGUUAUUAGGGAAGAACAAAUGUGUAAGUAACUAUGCACGUCUUGACGGUACCUAAUCAGAAAGCCACGGCUAACUACGUG